rnacentral:rRNA from 1 species
AGCUCCAAUAGCGUAUAUUAAAGUUGUUGCAGUUAAAAAGCUCGUAGUUGGAUUUCUGGCGUGGGGUGCUUGACCCGCCGCGGUUACGCGUGUGAGUGUCGGUGUGCCUCGGCCAUCCUUCUAGAAACUGGCUCUGCCCUUCAUUGGGUUGGGGUCAGGAUCUGGAUCUUUUACUUUGAAAAAAUUAGAGUGUUUAAAGCAAGCUUUGCGUGAAUACAUUAGCAUGGAAUAAUAACUUAGGACUUCGGUUCUAUUUUGUUGGUUUCUAGGACUGAAGUAAUGAUUGAUAGGGAUAGUUGGGGGUGCUAGUAUUCAGCGGCCAGAGGUGAAAUUCUUGGAUUCGCUGAAGACUAACUUAUGCGAAAGCAUUCACCAAGGAUGUCUUCUUUAAUCAAGAACG